UGAGUCCCCUGAAGGGCCGUCGAAGACUACGACGUUGAUAGGUCGGGUGUGUAAGCGCUGUGAGGCGUUGAGCUAACCGAUACUAAUUGCCCGUGAGGCUUGACCAU
rnacentral:rRNA from 1 species